rnacentral:tRNA from 1 species
GUCGUUGUAGUAUAGUGGUUAGUGUUCCCGCCUGUCACGCGGGUGACCCGUGUUCGAUCCCGGCAACGGUG